UUUGUUUAAAAUUACGGUUAUCAUUUAUUUAAGUUUUAGUGUUUACCCAUUGCACAUUGCACCUUAAAUAAAUGACUCAUGCUCUAAAUAAGUUAUUGACUGUCACGUCAUCGAUACACGGAAGGGCUAUGUUGCAGGAGAUUUUUCAGAUUGUGGUUUGUAUUUAUUUGACAUGAAGGUUUAUUUUGCAAAAAAA
rnacentral:sRNA from 1 species